rnacentral:rRNA from 1 species
AUUGAACGCUGGCGGCAGGCCUAACACAUGCAAGUCGAGCGGAGCGGCGGACGGGUGAGUAAUGCCUAGGAAUCUGCCUGGUAGUGGGGGAUAACGUCCGGAAACGGGCGCUAAUACCGCAUACUAUCAGAUGAGCCUAGGUCGGAUUAGCUAGUUGGUGGGGUAAAGGCCUACCAAGGCGACGAUCCGUAACUGGUCUGAGAGGAAGAGCAGUCACACUGGAACUGAGAAACGGUCCCGACUCCUACGGGAGGCAGCAGUGGAGAAUAUUGAACAAUGUGGGAAAGCCGGAUCCAGCCAUGCCGCGUGUGUGAAGAAGGUCUUCGGAUUUUAAAGCACUUUAAGUGGGGAGGCUUUCCCAACAGAAUAAGCACGGGCUAAAUUCGGGCCAGCCGCCGCGGUAAUAC